rnacentral:rRNA from 1 species
CGCGCUGCAUUAGCUAGUUGGUAAGGUAACGGCUUACCAAGGCAACGAUGCAUAGCCGACCUGAGAGGGUGAUCGGCCACACUGGAACUGAGACACGGUCCAGACUCCUACGGGAGGCAGCAGUAGGGAAUCUUCCGCAAUGGGCGAAAGCCUGACGGAGCAACGCCGCGUGAGUGAUGAAGGUCUUCGGAUCGUAAAACUCUGUUAUUAGGGAAGAACAUAUGUGUAAGUAACUGUGCACAUCUUGACGGUACCUAAUCAGAAAGCCACGGCUAACUACGUGCCAGCAGCCGCGGUAAUACGUAGGUGGCAAGCGUUAUCCGGAAUUAUUGGGCGUAAAGCGCGCGUAGGCGGUUUUUUAAGUCUGAUGUGAAAGCCCACGGCUCAACCGUGGAGGGUCAUUGGAAACUGGAAAACUUGAGUGCAGAAGAGGAAAGUGGAAUUCCAUGUGUAGCGGUGAAAUGCGCAGAGAUAUGGAGGAACACCAGUGGCGAAGGCGACUUUCUGGUCUGUAACUGACGCUGAUGUGCGAAAGCGUGGGGAUCAAACAGGAUUAGAUACCCUGGUAGUCCACGCCGUAAACGAUGAGUGCUAAGUGUUAGGGGGUUUCCGCCCCUUAGUGCUGCAGCUAACGCAUUAAGCACUCCGCCUGGGGAGUACGACCGCAAGGUUGAAACUCAAAGGAAUUGACGGGGACCCGCACAAGCGGUGGAGCAUGUGGUUUAAUUCGAAGCAACGCGAAGAACCUUACCAAAUCUUGACAUCCUUUGACAACUCUAGAGAUAGAGCCUUCCCCUUCGGGGGACAAAGUGACAGGUGGUGCAUGGUUGUCGUCAGCUCGUGUCGUGAGAUGUUGGGUUAAGUCCCGCAACGAGCGCAACCCUUAAGCUUAGUUGCCAUCAUUAAGUUGGGCACUCUAAGUUGACUGCCGGUGACAAACCGGAGGAAGGUGGGGAUGACGUCAAAUCAUCAUGCCCCUUAUGAUUUGGGCUACACACGUGCUACAAUGGACAAUACAAAGGGCAGCGAAACCGUGAGGUCAAGCAAAUCCCAUAAAGUUGUUCUCAGUUCGGAUUGUAGUCUGCAACUCGACUACAUGAAGCUGGAAUCGCUAGUAAUCGUAGAUCAGCAUGCUACGGUGAAUACGUUCCCGGGUCUUGUACACACCGCCCGUCACACCACGAGAGUUUGUAACACCCGAAGCCGGUGGAGUAACCUUUUAGGAGCUAGCCGUCGAAGGUGGGACAAAUGAUUGGGGUGAAGUCGUAACAAGGUAGCCGUAUCGGAAGGUGCGGCUGGAUCACCUCCUUUCUAAGGA